UACGGCCACAUCUCGUUGAAGCACCAGUUACCGUACGAUCACUAAAGUUAAGCAACGUCGAGCCCGUUUAGUACCUAGAUGGGUUACCGUUUUGGAAUAUCAGUUGCUGUAA
rnacentral:rRNA from 1 species